AUUGAACGCUGGCGGCAGGCCUAACACAUGCAAGUCGAACGAGUGGCGGACGGGCGAGCAAUGUCUGGGAAACUGCCUGAUGGACGGGGAUAACUACUGGAAACGGUAGCUAAUACCGCAUACCUUCAGCUGUUCCUAGAUGGGAUUAGCUUGUUGGUGGGGUAACGGCUCACCAAGGCGUCGAUCCCUAGCUGGUCUGAGAGGAUGACGAGCCACACUGGAGCUGAGACACAGGCCAGACUCCUACGGGAGGCAGCAGUGGGGAAUGUUGCACAAUGGGAGCAAGCCUGAUGCAGCCAUGCCGCGGGUGUGAAGGAGGCAGUCGGGUUGUAAAGUACUUACGGUGGGGCGGCGUUACCCGCAGAAGAAGCACCGGCUAACUCCGUGCCAGCAGCCGCGGUAAUUC
rnacentral:rRNA from 1 species